AAAAAUGUGUUUUAUCUUAAAGAUGAAUCAUCAACAGUAAAGCUCUCCAAGAUUUUGCCUUCCAGUUUAAGAGUUAGAAAGUUUGCCGGCACAGAACAUAUCCACUGUCUUCAGAGAAUGGAGAUCCCUGUUUUGUUAUGCUAUGUGAGCUCACAUAUUUCAGAAAGCCAGUGCUUAAUUUGUUCCAGGAAACUUGUGUUCCUCUAGUGCCUUACCUCAUGGCUCUGCAACCCAUAAUAUUCCCGUGAAAACUGCAACGUGAUGUUACAAAGCAUUAACAAUUUCAUUCUCAGCAGCAAUCCGCUCUCUGAGGGCAAUGUGAGGGACUUCAAGUGAUGUGCUUUCCAUCCCUUCCUCUUCUCUUCUCAGUAUCAGUGACCCAGUCUGACAAACAUCCCUCACAGAGCAGAGGGCAGCUGGCACCUCCCGCUGCUCAGCCUUGGUCCCCUCUCCCUGAGCUACCCAUGAGGGCCAGUUCAAAGUUUGCAAAACUGAGGCUAAGGAAAUAGUGAAGCAAUCCUAACUUAGUGCAUCUUUACUAGAGAUCAUCUACAAAGCACUGGUGCUCAAUCCUAUAGAUGAAAAGACAGCUUCUGUGGAAUAUUACAGAAUCCCAUUUGUAAUAGGUUAUUACAGGAUCGUUGUCUGUUGCUUACCAUAUUCAUUGUGUAAAGAAAAAUCAAGUUGGUUUAAUUUGCAGCAAAGAGGACAGAACACUUUAGAAGUGCCUUCCAGGCUCAGAGGGGAGUUAUUCUGGAAUGGGAUCUGCAGGAGGACCUCCAUCACUGGGAUCUCUUAAAAGCAGGUAUGCAAGAAGGGUGGUCCAUCUUUCUUUCCUCUUCUGCCUGGAAAGGCAGAUUAAACCUUACCUGAGGUCCUUUCCAGACAUAUGGUGUCUACAGAAGGCAGAAGCCACAGCAAUCAGACUCAGUGGCUAAUCAACCCCAGAGGCUAUUCACUUCUUUAACCUUGCUUGCUCUCUCACUGGGGAUUGUGCAUGACACUUGAAGCUGCAGGAUGACAAACAUAGUGCUUGAGCAAUCCCCACUGGCCCUGCUCACACCUCCAGAAGCCUGCCCUUCCCUCCCCAGCUUUCUCCUCUUCUGCUUCAGACUUCAGACCUGCUCCCUUAAUUUCUCAUCUCAUGCACCCCUUCUUUGCCAGAACAACUCUUUCCUAGAAAGGUUGGUGCUGUAGUGAUAGAAGCUCUCUGUAAGUUGCACUGCCACCUAGAAAACAUCUCUACUCCUCACCCCUGUUGGAUCCAUGGGACAGUUUCCACAUCCCCACUGAGAAUAAGUUUAUGCUUUGUAACAUGGGCAUUUUUCAAAGUUAGGAAAUGACUCAAAAUAAAUGAAUGAAAUUAAAAUGCUGG
ensembl:lncRNA